CGGGCGGGGGGGGGGAGAGCGGGGCGGCCGGGCGCUGCCGCCGUCUCCCUGCCGCUGCCGUAACGUCCUGACGCUCCGCAGGGACCCGCUGGCCGGACGAAAAUGCAUGCUGCCUCAGUGCUGCAGUUCUCCCUUUUGCCCACCAGAGGGCACUGUGCGCUGGAACAGACAGUGACCAGCAGUAACAGGCAGCAGCUGACUGCGUUCAUCACGGCGCCCUGCCCGUGGAGCCAGGUAAAAGCUACUUCUGCUGAGCUGAGUAAGGGUCAGCGCUAAAAGAUGUUUGUAGGUUUCCCAGAAUGUUAACCCUUUUUCUGGACAACUGACUGCUGAGUCUUUGAUCCCUCUGUCCUCAUGAAAGGGCUUUGAACUCUUCAUUUCCCCAAGGAUAAGGGAAAAUAAUGGUGUUAUCUGCAUUGAAGUGUUUCAUUAGUUAGUUUUUUUUUCCUGGAGAAAUGUAGUUAAAUUACAGAUCUCUGAGAUGUCUUUAAGGAUGGGCAAUAAUUACUAUUUAGUUCAACAAAAACCUAGAUUCCAUACUUUAUCCUUGAGCCAGUUUUAUAUUCUGCCAAAUUAUUUUCCCAACAAGAACAGAAGCCUUGGAAGAUUAAAACAAAUUGGGUGUAUUAAGAGAAAUGGAGGCAUGUGGUUUCAUACCAAGUUUAUUUCUUUUAGUUUUUCAUAAUCACUUCUUUUGCACAACAACAACCUCAAGUUGACAAUUAAAUGCACGUGGUAGACCUAAAGGAACCAGACCAGGCUCCGUUACAGUGAUGGAAAGUCUGUUCAUAACACCAUUUACAGUAUCUUAUUGAGCUGUCUAUUUGGGAAGAACAAAGCUAGCACGCACUGGGUCAUGAGGAGUGAAUCCUGCACAAGGCCAAUGACAUUCAAACCCAAACUGGCUCCAGAGAGAACAAGAGGGCAGCCCUGGGGAACUGAAUGGGCCCAUUGUUUAAUUUUUGUCUUUCCAAGGAGGUGGCCGAUGAUGUAAUAGUCAUACUCAGCACUUGCAGAGUGCUUUCCGUCUUCAAAGUGCUGUGCAGACAUUAACUUGUUAAUCCUCUCAACACCCCUGUGAGGUAGGGAAGUAUUAUUAUCCCCAUGUUACAGAUGAGGGAACUGAGAGACACAGAGAGGUGGAGAGCAUCUCUACCCUGCAAGAAAAUCUGCGGCAGCAAGCCUCGGCGCCCGGGGUCAAUUGAUGUGGGCUUAUGGGGCGAAAAGUAGCACUGCAGACAUGCCUGCUUGGACGGGCUCAGGCUCGGAAACCCAGCAAGGGGGCUGGGUUUUCAGACUGAGCAGGAAUGUCUACUUUAUUUUUAGCCGUGUAGCGCUGGCCCAAGUCAGUUGAUCCGAGCUCUGAGCCUGCUAGUGCAGGCCUUUUUUUUUUUUUUGCAGUGUAGACUUACCCCAAAUGACUUGCCCAAGGCAGCCAGGAUAAGAAUUCAGGCAUUCCGGGCUGCAAUUCCUGUGUUCAGAUAACACAUCCCUCCAGCUUCCAAUGAAGUCGGUUAUCCCCUCAUCCCCCAGUAGGCUCUGGAUUAUAGAAACCUAAAUGUUGGUCUGUGCCCCUUAUCUACAUUACUUAGACACCUGUACAGAGAUGGAGUUUAUUGGUCCUAAUAUGUCAUGUCAUCCCAUCCCUCGCAUGGUUCGCGAUAAGUCUCUAUAGCACCAUAAACAGCCAUUCCCUGACUCUUGUUUCAAGUUUGAUAGGGUGAUAUGUGGGCAUAUGCAUAUAGAGUGUAUACACAUGCGCAUAUCUGUGCGUGCACACCGUAUGUGAAUACACACACGUCACCACCGCAAGUGCGCAAAGACAGUAAUGCUGCUUAAUGGAAUGAAACAAAUUACGUGAGACGACAAAGUUAAACAGAACCAGGGGUAGAGAGUCUCACUGGUCCUUGCAAGAGAAAAAACCUGAAAUGUACAUUUUACAGGAGCUGUGUCACAGCUCUGAUCCCUAUUGUAACAUGCAUGCAAUUGUCUGAAUUGCGAGUGGCACUAAAAGGCUAGCAUUUGGGGUAACUCCCACACUCUGACU